AUUUAUGACCAUACCACCCUAAACACAUUCAGUCGGCUGUGAUCUUGGAAGGUAAAGCAGGGCUGAACUGCUUAGUACUUUAUGCUUGGAUGGGAGAAAGUCCUAUCUUAAGAA
rnacentral:rRNA from 1 species